rnacentral:rRNA from 1 species
AUCAUAGUAGGUUGUGCUGGCUCUAUCUGAACAAGUGCACGCCUGCUCCAAAACAUUCAAACCUCUGUGCACUUUUCAUAGAAUAGCUUGUAAAUUGAGUGACUUGUGUCAUUUGGCUUGCAGCUACUCUGUGUCUUUUUAUAAACCUUUAUUAUCAGUUUAGAAUGUCUUUGUGUAAAUACACAUUUUUAUACAACUUUCAGCAACGGAUCUCUUGGCUCUCGCAUCGAUGAAGAACGCAGCGAAAUGCGAUAAGUAAUGUGAAUUGCAGAAUUCAGUGAAUCAUCGAAUCUUUGAACGCACCUUGCGCUCCUUGGUAUUCCGAGGAGCAUGCCUGUUUGAGUGUCAUGGUAUUCUCAAUUCUCCAAGUCUUUUUUGUGAGACUCUGGUGAUAUUGGACUUGGAGGAUAUUGCUGGAAUCUUGCAGGUGCCAGCUCCUCUCAAAUGUAUCAGUAUGAAUGUUCACUUCAUGCUCAGUGUGAUAAUUAUCUGCACUGUGUCUGAGUGUCAUAAAUUCAUGCUUCAAACUGUCGCAAGACAAUUCUAUUUGACUUCUGACCUCAAAUCAGGUAGGACUACCCGCUGAACUUAAGCAUAUCAAUAAGCGGAGGAAAAGAAACUAACAAGGAUUCCCCUAGUAACUGCGAGUGAAGCGGGAAAAGCUCAAAUUUAAAAUCUGGCAGUCUUUGGCUGUCCGAGUUGUAAUCUGGAGAAGUGCUUUCCGCGCUGGACCGUGUACAAGUCUCUUGGAAUAGAGCGUCAUAGAGGGUGAGAAUCCCCGUCUUUGACACGGACUAUCCAGUGCUUUGUGAUGCGCUUUCAAAGAGU